CGAGAGCCGCAAGGCGAUCGCCGGCGCUCCUCCCGUCAGGGAGGGCGCGGGAGGUAAAGUCCGGGCUCCACAGGGUAGGGUGGUCGCUAACGGCGACCGGGGGUGACCCCAGGGAAAGUGCCACAGAGAGCAAACCGCCUCGCUGGCGCGCGAGCGCUCGAGGUCAGGGUGAAAGGGUGAGGUAAGAGCUCACCGGGGGGCCUGGUGACAGGUCCCCGCAUGGUAAACCCCACCCGGAGCAAGACCGAACAGAGGUGGGCCCCUCGGGGCCCAGGGGCGACCCGCUCCAUACCUCGGGUAGGUUGCUUGAGCCCGUCGGCAACGGCGGGCCUAGAUGAAUGAUCGUCCUCGCCAGAACCCGGCUUACCGCGGCUCUCGGCUC
rnacentral:RNase_P_RNA from 1 species